GCAGUAACCAAAGGGUGAGGAUUUCCUUCUGGGGUGAUGCAAACAUUCUAAAGCUGAUGGUAACAUCGAUGGUGCCCAGCUCUAUGAAGACAGCAGAAGCCACUGGUAACGUGGGCUCCAAAGGUCCAGUGAUCUACUCAGAAUUUUAUCCUGAGCAGUGUGGACAGAGCAGUCAUUCAGAGCAGUUAAAUCUGAAGCGCUGCAGAGGCCAGCACCCACCAAAGACCGGCAGCAGAGACAGCACCCAGUGUCCGGCAGAAGUCAGCCUGGGGAUGACGCUCGGCAGUGACAGAGACCGGCAGCCCGCUGUGUCACUGGCUGGCACCCAGCACUAUCCAGUGUGACUUGCGGACGAUAGGAGCUGCACUUGGCCAGUUCAUGACUCUGUCUGCGUGGAGCAGAGAAGCCUGGGCUGAGGGCCACAUCGUGUGUAGCUUGUGUCCCAGGCAGAAGCAGCGGCGGCACUGACCACUCCCCACAUGGGCGUCCUGCGCUGUCUCUCGGGGUGCCUGUCCCGAUACACUGUCACUUUGACAGCUGCUCCCAUGUCCCGCCACUUCACCAGUGAGGGCAGAACCAGGUAUUUCAAACAGUGUAACUGACACACACAAGGUGCAGGUCCUGAGGCGAAGUGGAACACCAUGCACACCCCGAUUCCAACAGGGCAGAGCUGCCUCCGCCUCUCUGCUCCUCCACCCAGACUACCGCAUUUCUUCAUGGCGAUUGCUUUGCAUUGUAGAGUUCUGUAUUAAGUAGGAUCCCACAGCGCCUACCCUCUCAUCUGGGUUUGCCAUUUAGCACAGGUGUUUUGAGGUUUGUGCAUGUUGCCUCUCUCAGUGACUCAGGUUUUACUGCUGAGAGGUGCAUCAUUGGACUGACACACCAGUUUGUUCAUCUACUCAUUUAUUGGCCAGUGUUUGGUUGUUUACAGUGUGGGGCUGUUACAGAUCCAGUAGCCGUGGACAUUUGUGUUCAAGUCUCGUGUGGGUAUCUAUCUUCUUUUCUCUUGGGAAGUGCCCAUGAGUGGCCUGACUGCACCAUUUGCUGGUGAAGCUUGGUGGUGAGCAUUUCCCCACCACCUGCGAAGUCCUGGGUCCCAUCCCUAGCACUGCAGAAAAGCACCGGAGAGGUCAUCAGACUGUUCGACACCUGGCAGCGUCCGAGAGCACAGGACCCGAACUCACUCGCCCGGCUGUCCCAUGAAGAGGACCGUAACACUGAUCACGCCAAGGCAGGCUGUGCAGUUAGCCCCACAACUGGCUUGUUUAUAGAACUGAGUCUGGCUGAAGCCUACGUGCCGAGGUCAGGGUAACUCGCACCCGAAUUCCAUUCCCACAACCAAAGCCUUCUGACUAGGACAGUGUACUAAUUACAACCAUAUAUUUUGUCUAUUCUGCGCCUAAUUUGAGACUGCUUUGUCUUGUCCUUUAAGAGCCUUGUUUACAUUAAUUUCCAUAGAAACCACACAUCGCCUUCACCCCAGUUGAUUGCCAAUAAAAGUCAGUGCUGGGCCUGGCCAGGCCUUUGUCGGUUGCACCGGCAUUGGUGGUCCUGGAAGCCCGCUUUCUCUCUCUCAGUUCUGUCUCUCAGUGCAUUCUUUUUCUCAGGCUUGCGCCACACACUGGCCAGGCGGGUACUGGAACCUGACUGCAGGGGUCUCUGGCUGUCUCAGUCUCUGAGAGCAGGCAGCGCUGGGCUGGAUUGGCUGGCGAUGCCCGAGCCUGGGUCUGAGAAGAGGCCGCUGCUCCUUCCCAGGGUCUUCCCUGCGGCUUCAGGGGCAACUUCUGCUAUGUAAACAGAUGAGCCAGUAGCAACACAACUCAUGCUCUUUCCUCUGUAAUCAGACAGGAGACAACGCCGAGCAAGCAGGAAGCGCCUCUCGUCAGUGCAUCAGGACGCCUCUGCUGGCAAAGUUCUGAAACACAUAAAAGGACAAUAAAACCGAGCAACUGCAUUGCUGUACCUAAUAACAUAGAGGCAACCUAGCUUAUUUUGCAAAAAACCCCAAUGCUUCUGGUUGUGGUCUUUCCCGGAAAGAAACUGCAGUAUUAUAAGACAGAUUUUUUUCCUUUGUCUCCUGUUUUUAGAUGCAACAGCAAUUCACUGAAGUCUAUCAGUAAAUGGGGCAGAGCUUCGAUCUCAGAAACAAAAGGGAAAGCAGAUUAAUGUUUUAUAUAAAAAGGAAAUAAAGUAUGGGAAGCAAUACCAGAAUGAAAUUUUUUUCCCUGUAAAACCAAACCAGUUAUGUGCUUUGCCCAUUGAUGGUUGCACAGAACCCUCUAACACUCAGUGCCAUAGAGUAACUGCUGUGUUUUAUGCCCACUGUUGUGGGCCAGGAAUCUGGGGACAUGUGAGUGGCCUAGUGGCCUCUGACCCCCUGUGCCAGCCGGGGACCAGGCCAGGACCCCCUGUCUCUGAGGCACUUCCAGGAGAUUCGAGGUCCUUCCUCUGGAGCAGAGCCUUGAGGCAGCUCAGGGCCGGCUGCACCUGCACAGCAUCACAGCCACCGAUUCCAAGCUGGGAAACAGGUUCCAGGCCAGAAGGGGCACA
rnacentral:lncRNA from 1 species